rnacentral:rRNA from 1 species
AAGUGGAGCAAUCCAUGAGUAAAGUGGCGACCGGGUGAGUAACACGUGACUAACCUACCUUCGAGUGGGGGAUAACCUAGGGAAACCUGGGCUAAUACCGCAUAACAUCUUUGGAGUGGAAAUUCUGGAGAUCAAAGGAGCAAUUCGCUUGAAGAGGGGGUCGCGGCUGAUUAGCUAGUUGGCGGGGUAAUGGCCCACCAAGGCUUUGAUCGGUAGCCGGCCUGAGAGGGCGCACGGCCACACUGGAACUGAAACACGGUCCAGACUCCUACGGGAGGCAGCAGUGGGGAAUUUUGCGCAAUGGGGGAAACCCUGACGCAGCAACGCCGCGUGGAGGAUGAAGUCCCUUGGG